GCGCGCACGCCGCCGCAGGCUCCCUCCGCACGGGCGCGAGCACGCCACCGUCCUGGCCGUUGGAAGCGCGGCCGCUCCGGCUGGCCCUGGAGGGCGGGGCUGUAGGGGAAAGUGCCAAAACCAUUGAGUGAAGUGAGAAUUCUACUAGAGAGGAAAUGGCUGCCUCUUCAUCAUCAUCCUCAGCUGGUGGGGUCAGUGGAAGUUCUGUCACUGGAUCUGGUUUCAGUGUCUCAGACCUUGCCCCGCCACGGAAAGCCCUUUUCACCUACCCCAAAGGAGCUGGAGAGAUGUUAGAAGAUGGAUCUGAGAGAUUCCUCUGCGAAUCCGUUUUCAGCUAUCAAGUGGCAUCUACGCUUAAACAGGUGAAACAUGAUCAGCAAGUUGCUCGGAUGGAAAAACUAGCUGGUUUGGUAGAAGAGCUGGAGGCAGAUGAGUGGCGGUUUAAACCCAUCGAGCAGCUGCUUGGGUUCACACCCUCUUCAGGUUGACCUUGCCUGGAUGGUCGCCUCUGGUGCACAGCAAGUGCAGGGCCAGCAAGGGACUUUUCUUACAGCUUACAUAGCCAUCCAGAGAUUCACAGCUCCAUUGCUGAAUUGUUAAUUCACAUCCAUACUUGGUUUCUCUGUAUCUAAAGCAACAAAUACUUAUGUAUGAUCUUGCAGGGAAAAUUUUUUUUUAUUUGUUUAAAAAAAUAUUGAGAAUCAUAUUAAGACAAUCGGCAUAAGAGAACCAGGAGGUUUGGGUUUAAGAGAUACUUAUAAUACUUCACAAGCCAGGGAGGACACCUACCCGAAUUGGCCAACUGAAUGGCAUCUCUCUUGCCAUUCAUGCAGUGCCUGGAAUCCUCACAGUCAAGUCCAAGGUCAGCACCUGGAUUUAUAAAAUACAGCAUUUCUGACCUAAAACAGUUCUUUUUUGCAGAUGAAUGUGAUUUCAACUCAGGAUCUGUCCAAAUGAGGAAUUUUGAAAUGUUCGGGGUUUUUUCUAUUUUUAGACAUUCUAUAGAUUCUAACUUUUUCUAACCUCUUCUAGACAUGCCAAGUGCUGGCAAAAAGAAUUGCUUUUUGAAUGUUGAAGCACUUGUAAAAAUAAAGCAGUGAGCAAAAUCCUUUUAAAAAGAAAUCCUGAGUUCACCUUGUUGGUGGGCUCAAGCAAUUCUAUAGCAAAUAAAUCCUUUGAAAGAGCUCCAGAUUAGUUUCUUUAUCCUUUCAAAGUCUCAGGGAUUUAGGAUAGGGGGAAGAGGUCAAAUUACUUUUUAUAAGAAGGGAAUCUAAAAACCAUUUCCCCUAAGCAAAUGGUAGAUUUGUUUUUAUCUCAGGGAUAUUUGUCCUUACAGAAGUAUGUGAAUUUAUCUUAUCAAUAUCUGAGUAGGUGGGGCUGGCA